rnacentral:lncRNA from 1 species
AAAUUCUCGAAAAGUGAAAAUUCAACAAAAAAAUGAGGACGAAAGAAAGAAAAUAGGUGAGUACGAAUAAAUCGUCAAGAACGGUUACUCUGUUCAUCUUGGUUGUUCUGUUUAUUUUAUAAGCGUACAUUAUACAUUGAUGAAUAGUGCCAAAACGAAACUAAAAAAUUCAAGUUGAUAUCUUUUUAUUACCUUGAGAACAAUUAUAUAAAAGAAGUACUUAUUUAAUAUGGAUGCCCACCUCAUGUGAACUUGCCAUCAAACUGUCGGCUGGUAAGAGAUGCUGCAAAACCCUGCUGUAAAAUCUCGACCUGUAGCCCCACACCAUCUCCCCUAACAACAAAGGGACCAGGACUUCUGCCCAUGACUACAGUACCAACACAGAGACCACAAAAAAUGACAAUUUCCCCAACACCGGCCGGUUCCACUGUUAGUAUGCAGUAGGGGUUUCAACACCUUCAUUAUCCACAUUCUUCCCACCAUCACUGUCAACUGAAUCAUCAACACCAGAAUGCUGUCCAAAGACUAGAUCAGUUGGGAGCCUUAUCUCAGAGCCAAAGACCAUAGUUGCAGGUUUGACACCAAUGGCUUCAUGUACAGAACUACAAUGGGCCAUUAAACAUAAAGUAUCCCAGGCACAAAAGGGUAUUCUGGCCCAACACCAAAUAGAUGUUCCAGCCUGACACCAUCAGGAUAUUUGUGCUCAACACCAAAUAGCUAUUCCAGCCCAAUUCCUGGAUAUUCCAGCUAAACACCUGGUUCAACAGCAAGACCAUCUUGAAGCCCAGCACCUACAGUGUGGAAGCCCAUUGUUGGACCCAAAAUUGAAGCCCUGUCUGCAAACAUAGGUUACUGUGAGUAUAAGGGCUCCCAGUACAAACAGGAUGCUACUUGGGAAGAUGGCUGUCCGUACAUCUGUACAUGCAUUGAUGAAGACAGUGCACAGUGCCAGGAAAAGUAAAUACUUACAGUAUUAGAUCACUCAUAGAGAACCUCC